rnacentral:rRNA from 1 species
GCAGCAGGCGCGAAAACUUUACACUGCGGGAAACCGCGAUAAGGGGACCCCGAGUGCCAGCACCUAGUGCUGGCUGUCCUACUGUCUAAAUAACAGUGGUUAGCAAGGGCCGGGCAAGACCGGUGCCAGCCGCCGCGGUAACACCGGCGGCCCGAGUGGUAACCGUUUUUAUUGGGUUUAAAGGGUCCGUAGCCGGCUUAUUAAGUCUCUUGGGAAAUCUAGCGGCCCAAUCGUCAGGCGGCCAAGAGAUACUGGUAGGCUUGGGACCGGGAGAGGUGGGAGGUACUCCAGGGGUAGGGGUGAAAUCUCGUAAUCCUUGGGGGACCACCGGUGGCGAAGGCAUCCCACCAGAACGGGUCCGACGGUGAGGGACGAAAGCUGGGGGCACGAACCGGAUUAGAUACCCGGGUAGUCCCAGCUGUAAACGAUGCUCGCUAGGUGUCAGGUGCGGUGCGACCGCAUCUGGUGCCGCAGUGAAAACUUGAAGCGAGUCACCUGGGAAGUACGGUCGCAAGGCUGAAACUUAAAGGAAUUGGCGGGGGAGCACUACAACGGGUGGAGCCAGCGGUUCAAUUGGAUUCAACGCCGGAAA